rnacentral:rRNA from 1 species
GACGAACGCUGGCGGCGUGCUUAACACAUGCAAGUCGAACGGAAAGGCCUCUUUCGGGGGGUACUCGAGUGGCGAACGGGUGAGUAACACGUGAGUAACCUGCCCUUGACUUUGGGAUAACUUCAGGAAACUGGGGCUAAUACCGGAUAGGAGCUCCUGCUGCAUGGUGGGGGUUGGAAAGUUUCGGCGGUUGGGGAUGGACUCGCGGCUUAUCAGCUUGUCGGUGGGGUAGUGGCUUACCAAGGCUUUGACGGGUAGCCGGCCUGAGAGGGUGACCGGCCACAAUGGGACUGAGAUACGGCCCAGACUCCUACGGGAGGCAGCAGUGGGGAAUAUUGCACAAUGGGUGGAAGCCUGAUGCAGCAACGCCGUGUGCGGGAUGACGGCCUUCGGGUUGUAAACCGCUUUCGCUCAUGACGAAGCUUUGUGUGACGGUAGUGGGUAAAGAAGCACCGGCUAACUACGUG